AACAGAUCAUGAACCUGGAGCCCAGGCAAGGUAGGUGAGUUGCUCAAGGUCAUUCAGUGAGAGAACACCACGGUCAAGUCACCUGCCACCUGGACUCCGAUUGCACACACAUAGACCUAUUUAUUUAUUUGUCAUCAGAUGCUAUCCAGGAUAUAGAGUGUGCCCAAGAGAAGGAGCUGUCAGUUUCUCCCUAUCCAAAGUUGGUUGCUACACAAAUGACUGGAAUGAACCAUGGGCCAAGAGAAUGUGAGGGCACAAGAAUGGCCAGACACAAUCCUCUCCUUGCACUCCCCAGACCCACUCAGGCUUUCCAUUAAAACUUGUCUGCCAAGAACCUUCAGGGUAUGAGCUGACCACAGUCUCUUCCACAGACUUAAUACAGGAAGAAUAUGGGAGGAAGAGUGGAAGAAACUUCUGACCCACUACUCCAACUGAUCCGUCCUCCAGGACUCAUUCUCAAUAUCCUCAUUCUUGGCUACCAGUUCAGCAGGUCUAAGCUGAUGACCUGGUGAAGUAACCCAGACCUUCAUCUCUAAGAAUCGGAGUAUUUAGUUGCCUUACCAUUGUUGGGCAUUUAUAGUUAUUGAGGGCAUGGAAGUAUGGAGACAUCUCAUUGAAUUUCCUGGCUUCCAGACAUGUAUCUUCCUGCCUUUGUUAUGUAGCAGCAACUCUGACUCUCUAUGGUAACAAACACAAAACUCCCGUCUUUAUCUGAUGAUCCACUAUCAUGAACUAUUCAAAAUGACCUGGCAGUGGUCAUGGUUUCAAGUUCAGUGGUAUUCUUAUCAUAUCAUCCAGAAAUGCAUCUCCACCCUUACCCUAGGAACCAGGACCUCUAAUCCAGUAGAGCAAUAAGCUGACAAGAAUAAGAAGUACUAAUUCUGCAAAUGAGUCACUGGGAGUGAUGGAGCCAAUCUUAUUUCUAUUCCUUGUUUCCUGAACCUGUGUAUUCUGUUAGACAAAGUACCAUAUAUUGAUUGUUGCUUCAAUAAAUACAACUUCACCCUGAAGACAGCAAC
rnacentral:lncRNA from 1 species